rnacentral:lncRNA from 1 species
UGCCAUUUUAAUUCAAUUCAAUAGUAUAUACAAUCUAAUCAACUUAAUCGAACUCCAAGAGCUCUCAACAAUCAAUCAAACUACAACGCACACACGUACUAAUACAAUGAACACUAAAUGAAAAUCAACUUUAAAGUACCUUGAAAUUGAACGAAAGAACAUCGUUAAGAGUACAGAAUAGACAUACACAAGAUACUAGUAGGUCCACAUUCUUUAUCGUCUUCAGAGCUUCAGGAUCCAUACAGAUUGCCAUAUUUAUACACUUCAAAAUCGAUACAGUAGCAACAUUAAAUAAGACAACAAAAAGACAAAAUGAUGGCACACGACCACUUCAAGGAAAGAUGAGAUAUUGUAACAAAGACUUUACAUGGAUGAUAGUUAUUCUUCUAUUUUUAGCAUGCUGCAUUUUCACCAACUUCCAAGAUUUAAGCAAACUUUAAUGAAUCUUUAACAAAACUAAUUUAGUGUAGGAAAGAACUAGAAAUUUAUGAUUAUUUAAACUAGUGUAGGAUCUGUAGAAAAAAUAUUAAGCUUGUGUAGGAUAGAAACAAGAAUUUUCCUUAAGCAACCUAUUUUCUUUACAUCCUAGCAAUAUGAGUCCACUGAUUUCUUCUCUCUUGAGUUGUUUUUGAAAUCCUCUACUACAUUGAUUAUACAACUUUUCUGGCACUCUGAUUUUCAUGUGAUUUGUUGCUUCUAGAACUGCUGGUCUACCUCAGUAUGGCUACCUUGGUCAUGCUACUGACAAUGAGGUACACUUAAAGAAAAAGUUUCAGUUAAUUUUUAAAUAUUUUGUGACAAGGACAAAGACUUCCAAUAUUUUCAUGUUAUGUUCGGAAGUUCGAGACUUCACCAAUUGUAUAACAAUCUCAAAUUACAAUGUUUCCUAGCAGACAAUGAUAUGUCAUGGCAAGAUCAUCCGUUCAAUUUAAUUGAUAAUGAUGCAACUUAUUGGUGAUACUACUUCUGCAUAAAUUGAAAUAAAAAUUAACAUGAAAUUAGAUGAGUAGUUGUUAUCUUCCCUAAAUUAUCUUGUAUUAUGUUUAAUGCCUUUUUGCCUAUUGAAAUGUAAUGAGCUCUUUAUUUUAUUUUUUGCUAACAGGGUGGAAUUCUUAACCACAUUACGACUACUUUCUAAAUACUGAAAUGUUUCUCACCUUUCUACAACAUGUAGUUGAUAAGUUUUGUGGAAAGCACAUUUUCCAUGAAAUAAUCAGUGUUUUUCUAUUUCUAAAAAAAUCAGUGUUCUUAUCUUUCAUAUUGGAGUCCUUUACUCUGCAUAUCACUCUAUCAUUUCAUAAUGAUCUAAGGUCUAAUAUUUCUCCAAAUUAAGUAGAGAAACCUAGACUUAAAUGCAGCAAAUCGGAAAGACCAUAUCCAAUCUUUUCUCCUUUUAUGACAAGACCCUUGAUGUUUAAAUUUGAAACUUAUUGUAAUAAAGGCAUUCACACAGUAGCAUCUUUAUAUUUGAACUGGGAGUUGUUGCUUUCUUUGUUUGAUUUAGGGAAGCUCUGUAACAUGCAUUAUAAUACCAAAGAUAGCUCUGUAAGACUAACUUAUGAAUCUCAACCCUGACCUAGACCUAUAGCCUCCUAUUCUGGAGAAACUAUAAUCAAAGUAGCCUGUGGAACAAAUCACAUGGUUUCAUCUUAACUUCAUUUUAAUAAAUAUUGUCCUCUUUCAGAUUUGUUAAGUGCAGUAACCUUCUUUUUUCUAGUUUUCAGUUGCCGUGGAUAAGAAUGGAUAUAUUUACACGUAAGUUUUAGUAGGAAACCAGAAUUCUACAUAUAACCAUCAAGCAUGUAAAUCCAUAUUACUAGUUCUAAAUACUUGCACCAAUAACUAAGGGAAAAAAGAUGGUUGGAACAAGUUGUAUUCUUACUCAUGUCAUUGCUUGUCAUUGCCCUAAUAUGUGUUUUCUCCGCAAGCUUAAUCAGGAUAAUAUACAUGUACCAUAGACCAUACAAUAUUCACCAGGAGAAUACAAGUCCAAUUCAAAAACCAAUAUCAGGAAUUGAAAAGUAGCAGUAACAAUAAAAAGAAGAGUAUAACAAAGAAAAGAAGAGUAUGGGAAUGAUCAAUAAGAACAACAAAAAACCAUAUACACAGUUCUGAUAAUUAAUAAAACGCCCAACUACUCAAAAAAUCGCAUAAAACCUCUAACUAUUCGAUCGAAAAGCAUAGAUUCACAAUUUGAAAUACAGUUUUGAAAAAAGAACAAGAAAGACGAAAAGCAUAGGAACGCAGUUUAAAGACAAAGACAACAAAACCAUCAACUAUUCAUUACAAUCUUCAUAUUUUGGGAAAAUUAAAGGAGACCCAAGAGAUUCAUAAAUUCACAUAAAUAAGAAAAAAACAAUGCUUACAGCCUUACUUGGACUGAAAUAGCUGACCUUACUUUGUGAGACAGAGCUUGAAUUUGAGAGAGGGAGGCUCCAAUUUGAGAGAGGGGUUUUGAGAAAGAGAG